rnacentral:rRNA from 1 species
GACGAACGCUGGCGGCGUGCCUAAUACAUGCAAGUUGAGCGAUGAAGAUUGGUGCUUGCACCAAUUUGAAGAGCAGCGAACGGGUGAGUAACGCGUGGGGAAUCUGCCUUUGAGCGGGGGACAACAUUUGGAAACGAAUGCUAAUACCGCAUAACAACUUUAAACAUAAGUUUUAAGUUUGAAAGAUGCAAUUGCAUCACUCAAAGAUGAUCCCGCGUUGUAUUAGCUAGUUGGUGAGGUAAAGGCUCACCAAGGCGAUGAUACAUAGCCGACCUGAGAGGGUGAGCGGCCACAUUGGGAAUGAGACAAGGCCCAAACUCCUACGGGAGGCAGCAGUAGGGAAUCUUCGGCAAUGGACGAAAGUCUGACCGAGCAACGCCGCGGGAGUGAAGAAGGUUUUCGGAUCGUAAAACUCUGUUGGUAGAGAAGAACGUGGGUGAGAGUGGAAAGCUCAUCAAGUGACGGUAACUACCCAGAAAGGGACGGCUAACUACGUG